GUAGUGUUUGUAUUAUCGUACGCGAUUGCCUCGCACUCCAUCCUCUUCCCUGAUUCUCCAUUCACUUGGGAAACAUUUCUACAAAUUAUAAGAAAGCCUUACUGGCAUCUUUAUGGAGAACUGUUUCUAGAAGAUACGGAAGGUUCUGCGGAUUGCACAACGGAUGUUAGGCUUUGGACAAACGGAAUAUAUCCGCGUUGUCCAAGCAAAACUGGACAGAUUGUGGUUCCAAUCAUGAUGGGGAUCUAUAUGCUUUUCACCAAUAUACUCCUUCUCAACCUUCUGAUUGCUAUGUUCAGUCACACAUUCGAUAGUAUUCAUAAGCGAUCGGAAUCGCUGUGGUGUUAUCAGCGAUACUUCAUACUGAAGGAGUACGGAAUGAGACCUGUUAUAUGUCCUCCUCUAAACAUAUGUUGGCACAUAUACGAUCUUGUCCAACGCGUGUGCUGUCGACACGCGACUGUAGAAGAUCCUUUUCGUAAGUAGCAUGUCACAUUC